CAGGAAGCAGUGCUAAUGAAAGUCCUAACAAGUCGCAGGAGAGGUUACCAGCCCCAGCCUGUGGACAGCAUGACAGGGGAAGGCGCAGCAGCAAGGUUUGCUGCAUGCAGGGCCUGCCUGAGAUUUGGCUCCAGACAGGAGGGAGCCCUGGGGAGACCAAUGGAAGGCUUGGAGGACAAUGGCUGCUCAAGGAGGGAGCAGAUGAGAUACGGACACACACACACACACACACACAAGGGAGCUGAAGCAAGGUGUGUGCCAACAUGGUGAGGAGGAAGUCUAUGCUGAAAAAGACUGUGGGUGGCCAAGCAUUGAUGACCAAAUAUUGGUGGCCAGUUCCCUUCCUGGCUUUGUGAACCUUCCUUGUCUUUGAACUGGGGCCUCGUUGCAUCAGGUGACAUCUCUCCCUAUCUUUUUCCCUCUCUCUCUCCUCUUUGGGUCAUGCUUGCUGGGUCCCAGGUUGGAGUCCCAGGAUGGCUACCUGCAGGAGAAUACCUCCCAGAAAAUCAGAAAAGGAUGGAUGUCUUGGAUGAUUAGAGAAGUUAUCCCAGUUGAAUGAGAUAGUCUGGGCAAAGGUGGCAUUAGACCUUUUUCUCUUUCUUCUUUUUCUUUUUCUGUCUUUUUAGGGCCGCACCUGGUGCAUAUACAGGUUCCCAGGCUAGGGGUUAAAUUGGAGCUGCAGCUGCCCGCCUACGCCACAGCCACAGCAAUGCCGGAUCCGAGCCGCAUCUGCAACCAACACCACAGCUCACAGCAACGCAGGAUCCUUAACACACUGAGCGAGGCUAGGGAUCGAACCUGCGUCCUCGUGGGUACAAAUCAGAUUCCUUUCCGCUGAGCCACGACAGGAACUCCUCUCUGUCUCUAUCUCUCUUUUUUUAACUGCAGCUUUGAGAGAGAAGGGGCCAAACCCACUUUAAGACGAAGAAAAGCGGCAGUCCAGAGAGCCUCCGGGGCGCUGUAGAUCCCAAAACAAGUUUAUUGGGUUCAUUAACUUUAACAAAUGACGAAGACACGCCUCCUCUACUCAUCUCGCUCGACUCUCAGAAGCUUGGAGGGCUGGUUCCUGCUUGGCCCGCGAGGUGCACCGGAUCCUCAUCCUCGGGCUACGAGAUCCGCCCGCCCCCGCCGUCGGGCAGCGGAGCUCCAGGCGCUCCGCACCCAAUCGGAGCCCGGCCCCGCCUGCGAUCAAAGCUUCUGUGCUAGGCUCUA
rnacentral:lncRNA from 1 species